rnacentral:rRNA from 1 species
GACGAACGCUGGCGGCGUGCUUUCUACUUGCAAGUCGAACGAUGAAGUUACUUUGGUAAUGGAUUAGUGGCGAACGGGUGAGGAACACGUGAAGAAUCUGCCCCUCAUUUUGGGAUAACUUCGGGAAACCGAGGCUAAUACCGAAUAUUGAAACAUAAGUGGCAUCACUGAGUUUUGAAAGUUUUUCGAUGAGGGAUGACUUCGCGGCCUAUCGGCUAGUUGGUGAGGUAACGGCUCACCAAGGCAACGACGGGUAGCCGGCCUGAGAGGGCGAACGGCCACACUGGGACUGAGACACGGCCCAAACUCCUACGGGAGGCAGCAGUAGGGAAUAUUGCGCAAUGGAGGAAACUCUGACGCAGCGACGCCGCGUGCGGGAUGAAGGCCUUCGGGUUGUAAACCGCUUUCAGUAGGGAAGAAGCGAAAGUGACGGUACCUACAAAAGAAGCACCGGCUAACUAUGUG